rnacentral:lncRNA from 1 species
UGAAGCGUGCUGCAGUCUCUGUUCAAGAAGCUUGAACAUGUUAUGUUAUCUUCCAUAAAUCUUAUUUGGCGUGGGUUUUCUCUGGCUUGAGGGUGUGCUUUCUAUUUUGAUCCCUCUUGUUGUUUUUGCGGGGAACUACCAAACCUUCGGUUCCCUCUGCUUCUUUGGAUCAUCUUUGUUUGGACAAAUUUCAUGUAAUUAGAGAUACCGAUUUAUGGGAGGCAUAAUCCCAUGGUCGUAAAUUGACCAUUUUCUGGCAAGUUCUUUUUAAAAAGAUAUGAGCAGUUGUUUAAAAAAAAAAAAAUAGCUUGCCUUCAUCAUUGUAUGUUACCAAACUGCUAUGUAUAGCUGUUAACUAUGAGCAUCCGAAAAUAUGGUGCAUCGUGAUUCAUGUAGUGCAAUAUGGCUACCAACGCAUCCUAAAUGGAAUAUUACUCAGUUAGUCAGCAAAAUAAGACAACAUAACUGAUAUUAAAAAAAUAAAAACUACAUUAAUAAGUGGGCAAGAUCAUGCCAGUUUAACUUUUCGCGAGUCGCUGCUGGAGAUAAUCAAAUCGGGGCAGAGAAAAGGAGAAUGGAAUCAGAGGCUAAGAUUAAUAAGUGGGCUUCUGCUUGCUUUGCCCCUCUUUCUUAAACGAUUGGUAGACUGCUGCUUCCACCGAUUAACCGGGUCUUCAACCACUGCUUUUACUGCCUGCCAUCUUGUUGUUUGUCGAAGGGAUGAAUUCGAGUCGAAAAGAGAAAGCGCGCUGAAAAAGAUAAAUCACUAGUGGUUAACUGCUGACUCAGCCAAGUGUUGGCUUCACUUGAUUCACCGAUUGAGGUUAUUUUGUCUUCUAUCUAAUGCAGCGAAGAAGCUUUGCUGCUUAACAUGCUGCAAUGCAACUUUAUCCUUUGAAGUUCACACUUCAGGGCUGCGCACUUUAUGUAAUCCUAUGAGUAAAAAGAAUUUGUUUUCAAAUGUGAAAAAAGAAAAUGUAAGGUAGUAACUAAUAUAUUAUAGCAUCAAAGCAAGAUUUGAUAUGAAUUUAGUACAACAAAGAACAUCAAAUCUGUGAUUCCUUGUCUAAUGUCACCAUCGAGCAACAAAUUUAAAAGCCUACCUAUCAAAUACACGAGGCAAUAAACGGAGAAAAAGUUGAAUUACAAGAACAAGUUUACAAUUCUUGUCAAUGGUUAAUGAUUCGUGAACUGAGAUAGCAUUCAAGAAUCCAAUUUCAAUACAACAACGUAAAAGAUAAACAGAUGAUGAAUUUUAUGAGAUAAAGAAGGAGAUCGUGUUUUAUCGUAUCUCUAUUUUCUUUCUUUUUAAAUUUAAAAUAAGCUUUUCAACCGGUUUAUUAACCGGUUAUAAUAUUUUUUAAAAUAAUUAAAUAUUUUCAUUAUUAAAAAUAAUGUGUACCGUUGAUUACAUCUAACGGUACAUAUUUCUUACACUACUAAUACGGUAAAAAAAAAAAAAAGGGCAUCAUAAAGGGACCCUUAAAACAUUUUCAUUUGAAAUUAUUUGGUGUAGUCAAAAAGUUAAGAAAGAAAUAGUUGUCCCUUUGGUCAUUUCACAAAAAUGAAAGCCCCAUAUAACAUGGACUUGAAUGGAAACCCAAUUGUUUGUGUUUGAUUUCAAGCUUUAUCGGACCUUUGGACCUGGAUACUUUACUGCGGCCUCUAAGCGCUAUAAAUUUGUUUUUUGGGAUAAAAGGCGCUUCAAUGAAAAAGCACUUUAAAACUUUGGAUUUUGCCAAAACUUCAAAGCGGUUGGUCCAGUUACGGUGUUAUGCUAACGGGUUUAAAGGUUCCGAUCCAAUGAGUUAGGGUGGAAUAUGAAUAUAUAAAUUCCAUAGCAUGUAAGGACUAGGAUUUGUUUGUUCAUAUUAAGAAAAAAGAUCUAAAAAUUUGAUGAUCAGAAGAAAAUAGACUCUUCUCUGUCUGAAUAAGAAGAAAGCAUAAUGCGCCUCCAAUAGAGAGAAAAGGGACUUAAUUUCACUUGCGUCAAAUGUUCCUCAUUCUUUGAUGGAAGAAAAACUCUUAAUAGUCUAUUGUUUUUUUUUUUUUCAUUUUUAUUUAAGUUUCACAAUAUUUUAGUAGUUGAUCAAAUUAUUUAGAAUUAGACAUUUAAUCUAGGGACAAUGUGAACUUUUUAAAAAUCUAUCAGGUGAUUUCAUAAUUUUAUAAUUCAGUUGGGGUAAUUUCUCAAACUAUAAACAAAUUAUCGUGUUUUGUAAGUUGAGGUCCAAUGGCGUUUUGGCACAUCAUAUGAUAGACCACUAUAUUGAGUUGCUUUACAAAAGAUUAAUAUUUUUAAAAUUAUUAGGUAAGUUUAGGCUCAGUGGCACUUUAACUCAUGAUAUGAUAGUCCGGGUUUUCGAGGACCACUAUAUUGUAUUGAUUUAAAAAAAAAAUUAAUAUUUUUUAAUAUUAAUAUUCUAAAUUAUAUUCAGUUAAAAUAUUAAAUAUUAAAUACAUUCUUAAUAUUAAUAUUCUUAGAUGAAAUUCUUUUGCUGACUUAAGAAUAAAAUAUUAAAUAAUUUUAUUUUUCUUUUAUUGUGUAACGUGGACCCAAAAAAAAAAGGAAAUGAAUUUAAUAAAACCUUCAUUCCGCCAACAUGCAUGUUAAUUGUUUCCAAAUUCCAACCUCCGUACUCUCUUGAGGAGUUUCCCAUUCAUCAAUUAUUAUUUUUUAUAAUCCAUACCAUCCUGAUAUAAUUAAACACCAUUAAUAAUGUACCAGCCUUUAAAUAGUAAUUAAUUUAGUUCUGAGAAGGAAAAAAAAAACAAAAAAACUACUUUGACCAGAAAAAUUCCCCGUUCUAUUGCCUAUAUAUGAACUGAGCUGUGCAAUUGAUCAAUUUCAAAAACUUCCUCAGCUGACCAAUUUUGAGCAAUUACUACAUAACAUAAAACCAAAUGCUGGAUGAAUUGGCAUCUCUGAAAACCCCAGCUCACACGUACCGACAGAAAGAGACUCUAGAUGUAUUCAAACAUUAAAUAACUGCAUAUGCUCUUCAAAAGAUGGAAGGAACCAUGGAUUAAAAAGAAGCAACCAUCUAAACAAGAACUUAUAUUAAAAAGCAAAGGAAGUAACACAUUAAAUUGAGAAGUGUGAUCAUCACUAUGAAGCUUCUAUAAGUAAUUUAAGAAUAGUAAUAAAAAACUAUUCUAAUAUAAGUAAUAAAUAUGGGAGACAUCUUUGGCUAAUAUGUAAUAAUAAUCUCGAGCAGCAGACGGACUCUUAUUUGCUCCAAUUUGAAUGGUGGUGUUAAGCAAUUUAAAUGUGAAGCCACUCGAGGCUCUGAUUGUGACAGCGGAAGCUAUACAGGCACGGCAUCAGAACAAGAAGAAGGAGCCGAACAACAUAUUUCAGUUCUCAAGAGAAGAAUAGAUUCUCAAACAAACUUCAAUUUUGAGAAGAAGAAGAAGGAUUCAUUAUCAUGGCAAGCUCAAAAAUGCAUUGGUAGAUUUUUCUACGAAAUGGGUAUUGAUUUCAGUGUUGCUAAUUCUCCAAGCUUUCAAGACAUGAUAAAUGCUAGCCGUGGUAAGGAAAAGUGUGAGAUCCCCAGUUGUCAGGAUUUGAAGGGGUGGAUCCUUCAUGAAGAAGUGAUGGAAAUGCAAGAAUAUGUGAAGAGGAUAAGACAUUCGUGGGAAAGUACUGGGUGCAGCAUUUUGUUGGAUGGAUGGACUGAUGAAAAUGGUCGAAACUUGGUCAGUUUUAUUGUGGAUUGUCCUCAGGGACCUAUUUAUCUGCGAUCAUCAGAUAUUUCAGCCUUCGUUAGUAAUGUUGAUGCCCUGCAGUUAUUAUUGGAUGGAGUCAUUGAGGAGGUUGGAGUGAAUAAUGUUGUUCAAAUUGUUGCAUGUUCUACAUCAGGUUGGAUGGGGGAUGUGGGCAAGCAGUUUAUGGAAAGGCGAAGGACAGUGUUUUGGACUGUAAGUGUGUUUGAUUGCAUUGCUCUGAUGCUUGAGAAGAUUGGUACGAUUGAUUUUGCUAGGGAGAUAUUAGAAAAGGCCAAGACCAUUACAAAGUUCAUUCAUGGCCACACAACGGUCUUGAAACUCUUUGGAGAUUUUACUGGCAAGCGGAACCUUAUCAAGCCCUCUAAGUUGAGAUCAGCAAUGCCUUUCUUGACUUUAGAAAAUAUUGUGGCGGAAAAGAAAAACCUUAAGGCCAUGUUUGCCUCAUUUGAGUGGAAUAGAACUAAAUGGGCUUCAAGAACAGAGGGGAAGAGGAUAGUUAAUUUAGUGGAGGAUCGUUCUUUUUGGAGCACAGCCAGGAUGGUCCUAAAGGCAACUAUACCCCUUGUGCGUGUUCUGUGUUUGAUCAAUGGGGCUUAUAAACCACAAGUGGGUUACAUCUAUGAAACCAUGGAUCAAGCAAAGGAGACAAUUAAAGAGGAAUUUAAGAACAAGAAAACCCAAUAUUGGCCAAUUUGGGAAAUUAUUGAUGACAAAACGCUAUUUCCGCAUAUUAUUAUUAUCAGAUUGUGUCUAAUGUCAGAUAUUGCCGACCACCUACAAUGCCACACAGAGAACCGCUACAAAUUCCUGUAACUUCCUUCCUGUACUAAAAUUAAAGGAGUACCCCAUCCUCUGCAGUAAAUACAUAGUCCUACUUACGGUUCCUUGUUACUUCCUUUGCUUUUUCAUCUGCAGUAAAUAAGAUAAAGGUGUCUCCCACAGUUGAAGACGGACCCUUGUUGCCAAAGAAUAGUAAUAAAAAAUAAACCACUUUCAUCUUGUACUGAAGUCUAUACUUAAGCUUCUAUAAGUAAUUUAAAAAAGCAUUUACCAUUUUAAACAUCAUAAUGAUACAAUUAUCUUAGUUUUAUCAGUAUAUAAGAAUUACUUAUAGAAUAGUAAUAUAUGUUUAUAUUUAAAUUAGUACAAUUUUAUAUUGAUAAUAAUAAUAAUUUUCAAUUGAAAGUGAAACCUUUAGACAUUUACCUAAUGAAGUUAGUUAAUCGGGAGGGUUGGAAAAAAAAAAAGUUGACGCAAGUCAAUACACAAUAAUUAAUUAAAUCCGGAGUGACUAAAACAGAGCCACUACUUUUUCAAAAAUAUCUGCAUUCAUCACUUUCUCCAGCAGCUAGUCAGCUACACACGAAUCAAUUUCUCUCCUCGUUUGUUGUCAUCCAAAAUUGUUCACCAAUACCAUGGCUGAUGCAAUCGUUUCCACUAUCUUGGAGCAGCUGAUUUCCUUCGCUGCUGAAGAGAUAAAACAACAGGUGAUCGAAGUUACACCCCUCAUAUUACAAAUACUUCCAAUGAUUUUAAUUGGUUUUGUUUUUAUCAAAAACAUUAUAUAUUUUUGCUUUUUUUUAUUUAUCUGAUAAUUUUAUAUUUUGAAAUUUGAAUUGAAUUUAAUUAAAAGGUGAUGUAGUGACCACUUAUUUUUAUUUUAUUUCAUUUAUAUUCUCAAUAACUACUCAUAUUUUGGUAACUUACUAUAACUUCCAUAUCUAAGAAAUGAUCCAAACCCACAAUUUUAAUGAUAAGAUUGGUUGAAUUAAAUAUCACUUGGCCCACAUGAUUUGUUUUAAUUAUUUUAUAUUUUCAUUCAACCAAUGAAUUAGUGCCACGUCAGUUUGUACAAAAUAAGUUUGUACAAUAGUUUGUGGUUGUAUCAUUACUCUUUAGUAAAGAGUAAUGAUAUAGCCACAAACUCUUGUACAAACUUAUUUUGUACAAACUUAUGUGGCAUGAUAAGAUUGGUUGAAUUAAAUAUCACUUGGCCCACAUGAUUUGUUUUAAUUAUUUUAUAUUUUCAUUCAACCAAUGAAUUAGUGCCACGUCAGUUUGUACAAAAUAAGUUUGUACAAUAGUUUGUGGCUGUAUCAUUACUCUUUAGUAAAACCUCAACUCAUCACUGAAUCCCAUAGCUAUUACUUAGACUCUAUGAAAAAUUUCAUAGUUUUCUUACAUUCUUUCAGUUUGGUAAGUGAUUUCAUAUAAUUUCUUUUCAAGUUAAAUUUUAAUUUGGUUUCUGAUAUAGUCUCUUUGCCGAAUUGUAUCUUUUAUGAUUCUUGGAUUUUGGGCUCCAACUUUUUAGGAUUUGAUAGUCACAUUUUAUGCCAUGCUCAGAUUGAUUUUCAUGAUUUUUAGUACCCGUUAAGUGACGUACAAUUUGACAAAAGUUUGAAAGGAAAUAUGUUUCAGAAUUCUGUUUUAAUUGACCUUUUAGUGGAAAUAGGAUGCUUAUAACUUAAUGUGGAUGGUUCGUAAAAUCAUGAAAUUUGGAUAGGAUUCACUAGCAAUAUGUACAAGACUCUCCAUAAAGUUUCAUAAUUUUUCAUUCGGUCUGGGGUGGUACAGGUGAAACUUGUGGUUGGUGUUGAAAAAGAAGUGAAAAGCCUUACCAGCCAUCUUCAAGCCAUUCAAGUUGUGCUCGAUGAUGCAGAGGAAAAGCAAGUGAAGGAAAAAGCUGUUAGUCUUUGGCUGGGUAGGCUCAAGUAUGCAUCCUACAACAUUGAAGAUGUGUUGGAUGAGUGGAUAACAACAAGACGCAAAUUGCAAAUUGAGGGUGGCGUUGAUGAAAAUGCUCUUGUUGUUCCUCAUAAGAAAAAGAAGGUAUGUCUCUGCUUUCCCAGCUCUUGUUUUGGAUUCAAACAAGAAGAAUUUGGUUUCAAACAAGUCUUUCUCCGCCAUGACAUUGCCGACAAGAUCAAAGAAAUCAAUGAAGAGCUCCAUGAUAUUGCCGCUCAAAAAGACAUGUUUGAUCUUGUUAAGAGUGGCAAUAAAAGUAGUGAAAGACCAAGGCGUGUACAGAGUACCUCCUUGAUUGAUGAGGAAGAGAUUUGUGGCAGAGUUGGUGAGAGGAAUGAACUCUUAAGCAAGCUGUUGUGUGAGGGUAGCGAGCAACAAAAAGGCCUUCAUAUCAUCUCAAUCGUUGGUAUGGGAGGCAUAGGGAAAACAACUCUUGCACAACUAGCUUGUAAUCAUGACGAGGUGAAGAGAAAGUUCGACAAAAUUCUGUGGGUGUGUGUAUCAGAAACUUUUGAGGAGUUUAGGGUUGCCAAAGCGAUCGUUGAAGUUUUGGAUGGUCGUGAAUCUCAUUUAGCUGAAUUCCAUUCUCUUCUUCAACAUAUUUAUGAAUCCAUUGCAGGGAAGAGCUUUCUUCUUGUCUUAGAUGACGUGUGGGAUGGAAAUUACUUGAAAUGGGAACCAUUCUACCGUUGUCUAAAGAAUGGUCUCCAUGGAAGUAAAAUUUUAGUUACCACACGUAAAGGGUCAGUUGCAUCCAUGAUGGGAUCCAUAGAUAUUAUCUCCGUUAAGGAGUUAGCUGAAGAGGAAUGUUGGUUGUUGUUUAACAAGAUAGCAUUUUUUGAUCGGUCCAUCGAGGAACGUGAAAAAUUAGAACAAAUUGGGCAAAGAAUUGGAGGCAAGUGCAAAGGUUUACCUCUUGCAGCAAAGACAAUAGGGAGUCUCAUGUGUUCUAAACAAACUGAAGAAGAGUGGAAAAGAAUUUUAAAUAGUGAUUUAUGGAAAGUAGAAGAGAUUGAGAAAGAUGUUUUGUCCUCUUUAUUGUUGAGUUAUAAUGAUUUGCCAUCUAGAGUAAAAAGAUGUUUUUCAUAUUGUGAUGUCUUUCCAAAAGACUACAAUAUAGAAAAAGACAAACUAAUCACGUUAUGGAUGGCUCAAGGUUAUCUUAGUGCAGAAGAAGAUGAAGAGAUGGAGACAGUAGGUGAAGAGUAGUUUGGCAUCUUAGCUUCUCGCUCAUUUUUUCAAGAGUUUAAGAAAAGUUAUGAUAAUCGGAUUAUAGAGUGUAAGAUGCAUGAUAUGGUACAUGAUUUUGCCCGAUUUGUAAGUCAAAAUGAAUGUUUUUCGAUGGCAAUUAAUGGUAGUGAAGAACCAAACGCCACAAACUCUCUUGAUGAGAAGGUCCGUCAUUUAAUGUUAAUCUUUAGUAUAGAGGCUUCAUUACCUGUUUCCACUUGUAGAGUUAAAAGAAUUCGUAGCCUCUUAAUUAACGAUAGUAGAUCUGAUCAUUCAUUAUUAAAUGGUGAGAUCUUAGAAGAAUUAUUUAGGGAAUUGACAAGUUUAAGGGCAUUAGAUUUUUGCAAAUCGUAUAACGCAAGUUGGUCUUCGACUCUGGAGAUUCCGAGAAACAUAGAAAAGCUGGUACAUUUAAGAUACCUUAAUUUGUCUUAUCAGGGAAUAAAGAAACUACCGGAGACAUUAUGCGAGUUGUAUAAUCUAGAAAAGUUAGAUAUUAGUUAUUGUUAUAAGCUAGAAGAAUUACCUGAAGGGAUUGGGAAGUUAAUAAACAUGAAGCAUUUACGAAAUAGAGGUACUAGUUCUUUAAGGUACAUGCCAGUAGGGAUUGGGAGAUUAACGGGUCUUAGGACCUUGGGUGAGUUCCACGUGAGUGCAGGAGGAGGUGUUGAUGGUAGGAAAGCAUGUAGGCUUGAAUCUCUUAAAAACUUGGAACACCUUCAAGUAUGUGGUAUAUGUAGACUGGGUGAUGUAUCAGAUGUGGGCGAGGCUAAGCGAUUAGAACUUGACAAAAAGAAAUACCUCUUCAGUUUGACCCUUGAGUUUGAUAAGACGUAAAGAGGAGGAGAAAGGAGGAAGAACGAGGACGAUCAACUUCUUCUUGAAGCCUUGCGACCACCCCUGGAUUUAAAGGAAUUAGAGAUACGGUACUACCGAGGCAACACUGUUUUCUUCCAUGUUGGAAUUGGAGGAGUGGGAUUAUGGGAUUACAAGAACGGGAAACACCGUCAUCAACAUCAUGCCACGUCUUUCUUCCUUGGAAAUUGUUGCCUGCCCCAACUUAAAGGCGCUGCCCGACCACAUUCAUCAAACGACAACAUUGAAGGAAUUGCGCAUUGUGCAUUGUGGGCUUCUGGAAGAACGUUACCGCACGGGGGAAGGAGAAGAGUGGCCUAAGAUAUCACACAUUCCCAGCAUAGAUAUUGAUUAAGAAGGAGAAGAGUGACCUAAGAUAUCUCACAUUCCCAACCUUGAGAUUUGGCCUUGACAAGUAAUUCCUUCUCUCACUCUGAUUUGCUUUGUUGUUCUUUUUAAUCUAAUCAAGAAGCAUAAAUAGCAUUUUGAAUUAAACUCUAUAUCAGAAAUCUGCAAUACAUAUUUACUAAUAUUCUGAUUUUCAUAUCUUAUGAAUGUACGAUUCUAAUUUGCGAUAUUUAACGUUGCUGUAAAAUAUUAUUAAUGCAAUAUGAGAAAUUCUUUUGCAGGACAAGUGACCUACGUUUAGUUUGGCUUUGGAGUUGAGUAAUAACCUUUCGAGGUCGCCACUAUAAAAACGCGAAGCUCCAUUUGCCACAGAUUACAUGUAUUGCCAUCAUUGACAAUUUUCUGGAUAAGUGAUGAAGGGUGAGAAUGGUGCUAGAAUAUUGAAUAAAGCUGUCGUGACUGAACUUACGUUGAUGUCAAAAGGGGUAAAUUAUUGGCAUGCCUAGCUAAUUUGACCAAUACCUGAUUCAUAAGCCUACAUCAAUUUUGAUUUUGAGUUGAGUGAUUAAUUUUGAAGGUUUGCUUACUUAACUGGUAACCAAUUUCUUUUAACUAAAUGUAUCAUAUGAUGCAGGAAGCAGGGCAGGAUAUGAAAUGAGAAGCUUAUUAGUGGAAGGAUUAUCAGAAACAGAACCCAAAGAAAAUGAAAACAUUUCAAGGCAGCAGUUGGCAGUUGGCCGUGAAUGGAGCCCCUUGAAAAAAUUCCCAACCCAUUGCACUGCAAUUACGAUCGUGAGUAUGAUUGCACUGCAAUUUCGAAGCUUCUUCUCCUGCAUUUUUGUUAUUUGCUAUCAUCCUCUGCUUCAGGUGAUUUCUUCUCCUGCUCUGUCGUUGUUUGUAUCUCAAUCAAAUUCUAUAACUGGAAUAUGCAAAAGUUUCGAAUUUUUAUUUCUAUCUGCUUGCAUUGAUAACAUCGCGGCAUAUGCACUAGUUAAAGAUCAAACAGAAACAGAGCUCAGGAAAAAGUUUCUUCUGCCAUCAUAUUUGAAAAUUCAUGUAAAAUGUAGACAGUAAUCAGCAAAAAGGUGAUUCGCAAUUUGAUUUUUUUUAUGAAAUUAAUUGUUAGGUUGGAGUUGCCAAUUAACAAUUUUAACCCCCUUUGACUUUGAAGGAAUUAGAGAUAUGGUCAUACAGAGGCAACACUGUUUCUGCAAGUAGUCCUCUCUUUUCUUUUUAUUAUAUUUUAUUUAGUUAUUAUUUAUUAUUUAUUUUUUGGUUUACUCUGCUUCUUCUUUUUACGUUUCUCAAAUUUUGAAUUUCAUUGCUUUUGAACAUACGACAGUCUGUUAUGUGGCGACCCUGGUUCUUAAUUAAGGUUGUGAAAUAUUAUUGUAAAAGAUGAUUUAUUCAAUUUGAGUAAUUCGUUUGCUUUGAUAAUGAUAGUAAUUUUUUAUUUUGACAAUUUGCAAGGUGAGAAUGGUGCUGAUUGGUGAUUCAGGAUAUGGUUCAAACACCAUUGAAUAAAGCUAUGGACAUGGUGGCUCAACUUAGCUAGAUUGCUAUCAAAAUUGGUAAGUUGGCUUGUCAAUGUACCGAUGCUUUUGUUUUCUCUCAACCCUAAUUACCUUAACUUCAUUUAGUUUGGCUUUGGAGUUGAGUAAUAACUUAUUGUUCAAAUGUUAUUUCCUUAUUGUUCUAAUUCAUCAAAUGUUAUUUCCUUGUUGUUCCAUUGAUAUAUUGGUUGCAUAUCAAGCAGAAACAGAAUCCAAAGAAAAUGAAACCAUUUCCAGGCAGCAGUUGGCAGUGAAUUCAUGCAAAUGUUGAUGCCAUUCAUAGAUGUUGAAGACAAUGUUGAGCCAAAGGCGAUAAAUCAUUAAUGCAUAAUUCCCAAAACCUCUAUCCUUCUCUCAUUGUAAUUUGAUUUGAAAUGAAUAAUUGCUAGGUAAUUGAAGCCAAUGUUGUUAAAGACCGUGUUGAGCUACCCAAGCUAAGAAGUUAGUUGCCAAAAAAUGCAGGGGAUCAAAAGAAGCAUUGCAUUUGAAAAGGCAUGAGAUUCUGGUGGCUACAUGUCAACUCAUAUAUGUUUGAAUAAGUUUGAUGGUUCAAGAUUGUUAGCUUCUGUUUAAAUUUGUGCUACUGCAGUGCUACAAUGCUGCUACUGGGAAAUUUGAAUCCCAUAUUAGACUUUCCUCACAUCAGAAGCUGUGGAUCUUCGGACAUCAGGUUUUUUCACAGUUCUGAAACACUCAGGAUUAAACUCUAUUAAAGUGUUGUAGUUAUCUUGUUGUCAGAAUUCCCAUAUUAUUAUCUUUUUCAUGUAAAAUUAUCUUGUUGUCUUCGCCCAUGAAUCUAAGCUAAAAUUUGAACCAAUUGUUUGCUAUUAUAAAUUUCGUUGUUAAAUGUUAAUUGUGAUGUUGGUGUUGAGUUUCUUUUAAAGUCAGAGAAGCCUGACGAUUGAGUUCCAUGGGAUUCUGAGAAGCAGUAAUAUUUUGAACAAGUGAAGGUUCUUCGUUUUUAAUUACGUUCUGCACUUUUACAGUAUGUGCAGAUGUCUAAGAGGCAGGAUUUUAAUUUCUGUAAUGCUAAAUUUCGCAAAACAAUAAAUAAAUAAAUGCAUGACAGUGACUUCAAGAAUUUAGAUUAUUGAAUUUGGUCAUUUUAAAAUUGUUGGAAUAUUGAACUUAAGUAAUUUUGAUAAACCAGAGCUCAGAAAUGUAGAAUAUAAAUAUUGGAGAUUUGGACUUCAAUCAUUAGAUUUGAAGCUAAAGAGGUAAGCCAUUAAUUACAUCAAAGGAUUUGGAAAAUGGAGGGAUUGGAAAAAGGAAACUUUUUCAUAAACUACAAGCAUUGGGCAGUUUCAUUUGUCCGAUUCAAGAGGAACGUCACAGAAAGGGGUAAAGAAAAGAGUAGCCUAAGAUAUUUAAGACAAUGUUGAGCCAAAGGAAACAUAAAUCCCAACCAUUGCAUGCGAACAUGAUCACAAUAAGGUCAAGAACCUACCAAACCAUUUUUUUGAGAAUUUUCAAUUGAAAGUGAAACCUUUGGACAUUUACCUAGUAAAGUUAGUUAAACGAGAGAAAUAAAGGGGAAAAGAAAAGUUGACUCAAGUCAAUACAGAAUAAUUAGUUCAAUCUGGAGUAACUAAAACAGAGCCACUAUAUUUUCAAAAAUAUCUGCAUUCAUCACCUUCUCCUACAGCUAGUGAGCUAAACACGAAUCAUUUCCUUUUAGCAUUUUUGCAGCAUCAACUUCUCUCCUCGUUUGUCAUCCAAAAUUAUUCACCAAUACCAUGGCUGAUGCAAUCGUUUCCCUUCUCUUGGAGCAGCUGAUUAUCUUUGCUGCUGAAGAGUCGAAACAACAGGGGAAGCUGGUGAGUGUUGGAUGAGUGGAUCACAGCAUGCGCCAAAUCGCAAAUUGAUCAAUGCUCUUGUUGCUCCUUAUCUGAAGAAGAAGGUGCAAAUUGAGAGCUGCAUUGCACUGUCAUAACAUUUAUUGUAAUUUCAUUUGGAGAUUUUAUGGAUAAUGAUUUGGUAGACUUUAUAUGCCGUCUUCUUUCUUUUUGCAGUGAUAUGUUUGUAUUCAAUGUGCUUGUGCUUAUUCUGUGGUUUUUAAAGUAGGUGUUUUUAUGAUAAACUAGGUCUUGUGUAUUGUAUGUACUAUCUAGAGAAGAAUAUUGACUGGUUGCAGUCGAAAUUGGAACCACUUUUGAAAGGUAAGAAGAGGCCAUUUUCCUUCAUUCUAAUGCCAAUAAUGCUGUCAUGAGACUCAUAAAAAAUGUUAAAACAUUAAUGUUUUUGGUAUUUUGCAGAUCAUUAUCUUCUGUUUGAUUUUCCUGGCCAAGUUGAAUUAUUUUUUCUUCAUUCCAAUGCCAAGAAUGUUAUCAUGAGACUCAUAAAGAAGUUAAAUCUCAGGGUAUUGUUACAUCUUGCAUCUAUGAAGGGACUCAAAGAGUUGACAUGAAUUCAUCUUUGUUAUUUUGAUGCCAGAAUUGUGCAAUUCUCAGUUGGUUCCUUUCACAUGCAGUUGACUGCAGUGCAUCUAGUUGAUGCGCAUCUUUGCAGUGACACUGGAAAGUAUGUUAGUGCUUUGCUUCUCUCGUUGUCUACGAUGCUACAUCUGGAACUUCCCCACGUCAAUGUCUUGUCUAAGAUCGACUUGAUUGAGAAUUAUGGAAAGCUAGGUGUGGUUUUAAGUGUCUCCCUCCUACUUGUUUGUUUAGUUUGAAAUAUCAGAUAUUAUCACGAGCUCCUAUCUGCUACGUUUCCUCACCAAUCAAUUACUUUGGGUAUGUUGCAGCUUUUAAUCUCGAGUACUAUACGGAUGUGCAAGAUUUGUCAUAUUUACAGCAUGCUCUGGGUCAGGACCCUCGUUCUGCUAAGUACAGGUUUGAAUUCUAGCUGAAUCAAUGAUGCAAAUUAUGUCCAUUGCUAUUUUUGACUGUCGUUUCUAUCAUUUUCAAUUGUUACCUCCCCUUGCCAUCUACUGCCACACUGCAAUGCCUACACAAAUGUUAUGAAAUUUGUCAAUGGCAAUGCCAUCCUGUUUGUCCAGAGACAGCUCUUAGAUGCAAGUGAACAAUUUUUGGCUUUGGCCGUUGUACAGCCUUAGAUUUCAACUUGCCAUAUCUUGUCUCGGAAGUCAAAAGAAAGCGUAUAUGUUAGCCAAAUUUUAUUUGAAUUUAUUGAGUAACAAUGAAUGGUUCGGAAAAACAGUUCCUCUUUUGUUUUGAUCAGACUCAAUGAAUAAGUGUUUAAAAUGUGCCUGUCCUAGAAAUAUAGAUGUGUGGUUUCGCAAAAUUUUCUUGAUCUUAAGAAAGAGUUAUCUUGAAAAGAAGAUAACAUGGAGAAUUCAGCAACUAUACAGUCAUAUUGCGUCUGUCAACUUGGGUCAGAUGGUGUCGUUUGGAUGGAGAUGUUAGGUCCCAGAUGGUAUGCUUGUUAUCAAAUUCCAGUCUAAUUCAUUCAUGCUUUGAUGACAUAUGCGGUGCAGCUUCUUAUCUAAGACCUGCAUAUGUUCAGUCAUCAUUCAGUUCUGUAUUUGGCUGUCAUUCUUUCAAUGAAUUCAAACCACUUUCUGAAUACUUGCAAAUUCAUCCAGUGUUGUCAUUGAGAUUCCAAUAUGUAAAGGAGCAAUAGUUGCCCUUGAUAGUAUGCUUAUUGAUUGCCUCUUGCCUCACUCAGCCUAAGGAGUCUGGUUGUAUGGUGUUCUUGUAAUUUCAUUUGGAGAUAAGUAAUAUCUGUUGUUCAAAUGUAUUUUAUAUACAAGCAGUUAAUAAUUCUGCUUGCAGAAAGCUUACAAAGGAGCUGUGUGAUGUAAUAGAAGACUACAGUCUGGUCAAUUUUUCAACCUUAGAUAUUCAGGUCAUCAGUUUCUCUUGAAUUCUUUCUUGAGUUUCUUUGAAUUAUUUGUGAAUAAGAUCUUAGUUGGCUGCUCCUCUUCAGGAUAAGGAAAGUUUGGCAAAACUCGUGAAGCUGAUAGAUAAAAGCAAUGGGUACAUCUUUGCUGGCAUGGAUGCCAGGGCAGUUGAAUUCAGCAAGAUUGCCGUUCGCGAUGUGGAUUGGGAUUAUUACAGGUAUCCUUCUUUUCACCUAUUUUCAAUCUUGUGAUUCUCAUAUUCAUAAAACUUUCAUGGUUCAUUGUAUGCAUCUGCAUCUUCUAAUUUGUACGUUUGAGAGACUAAUUUUGCUGUUAGGUAGGCGUCAAAUUUGAUUCAUGCGUUUUUCAUAAAUUUACCAAAAUCAUGGAAACUUCUUUUUCCCAGAUAUUGUAUCCACACUUUUCCCAUGUAAUUCAGUCAGACAAGUUCUGCUUAACAAAGAUAUCUACAGUAGCUGAAGUGCAGGAAAAGUACAUUAAGGAUGAUGACGAUGUUAACUAAAAUGGGACACGAAGAUAUGUGGUGUGCAAACCGUAAGCAUGCCUCUUACUUUUGUGCAUGUUUACUUGCUUGUGAUUCAUGUUUGUUAAUCUAUUAUGCUCUUUUGUUGGGUUUAUAAAGUUUUCAAUCAAUCAAACAUUUGACUGAUUCAGACAGGACAAGCGGGGAAGAGGUGGUUUUAAUCAAACCACUACUAAUUAUGAUGUAUCUCGGACCUUUGUACAAUAUCAAGCGAUUUUUUUAGUUGAAUCAGCUGGUGUACACAAAUGUCGUUUAUUGAUUUUUCUCUAGUAUAGUUCGUAAUUUUGGUAACACAUCUACUCUAGUAUCGUUUGUAAUUACAAGAAACAAAGUAAUGAAAUUUAUCACUGCAUUCAUAGUUAUGCUUAAGCUCAAAGAUCACUGUGAAUAUCAUUUUGGGGCCUCUAUUUGUUCUAUAACAUGAUGUUGACACGUGUCAAAUUUUGAAGCUUGUGAUUAAAAUACUAUUCACAUAUAUAUUUUAAGUACCACUAAUAAUUAAAUAUAUUAAUAAAUAUGGGCAAUGGGGAUAAAAUAAAAUGGUUUUAUUUUUUGAAUUACUCAACUGCUUCAAACUUCUAAGAAGUAGAUUUACGAUGAGUGGAAUCUUAAAUUGAGUACGAGUUAGGGAUAACUUAUAAAAUUGGGAUACAAGCUUCAAAGAAAGUGUAUUACUAUUCAUAUGUAGAUUUCGAAUUAAGAAGAUAUGCCAGCUAAUUGUAUAAGAAUGUAAAAAUUGAUCACAGGCAUAAUCGCAAAUGAUGAAAUGAGCUACCUUGAUCAAAAGGUCAAGAACCUACCUUACUUCUCUUAGGGAUAAGUUGCAUCAACCGUUGUGAUAUUGAUAUUUAUCUUGAGCCAGUAAAAGUGAAAGCUUCCCAAUUGAAGGAAAGUGAAGAGAAGAUUCUAUGCUCUAAUUAUUAUUAUUAUUAUUAUUUGUUAGAAUGAAGUGCGAAGUGAGCACAUCAUGCAAGCUCAGCAGAUGUGAUAAGGUGACUUGUAACUCAGCUGGCACAAGAGACAAAGUGUAGUGGAGAAAAGUUUCCCAAUUGAUGGAAAGUGAAGGGAAGAUUCUAUGCUCUAAUUAUUAUUAUUUGACAAUGAAUUGGCAAAUAAAAACAAAAUAGCAGGCCUGUAAAGUAAUGAAGUGGAGACAAUGACCAUGUGAUUGAUUGGUAAAUAAAAACAAAAGAGCAAGCCUGUAAAGUAAUAUAAAUUAUAGUGUAUAUUCAAGUUAAAGUAAUGGAAACAGUGUGCAUCCACAAAAAAUUCUUUUAUCUCUCGUUGUCUUAUUCUUUUCUUUAUUUACGUUUUCCAGAAGUAAAGCCAUACAUGUGAUGAAGCAUAGAUAAGAAAGCUAUCGCCCGAAAUUCAUUUUGCACAAACACUUCAAUAUCCUUUUGAUCACUUUUGCAAACAUCAAUUUGUCUCCUAUUGUAUUCACCAUGGCUGAUGCAAUCGUUUCCACUAUCUUGGAGCAGCUGAUUUCCUUCGCUGCUGAAGAGAUAAAACAACAGGUGAUCGAAGUUACACCCCUCCUAUUACAAAUACUUCCAAUGAUUUUAAUUGGUUUUGUUUUUAUCAAAAACAUUAUAUAUUUUUGCUUUAUUUUAUUUAUCUGAUAGUUUUAUAUUUUGAAAUUUGAAUUGAAAUCAUGAAAUUUGGAUAGGAUUCACUAGAAAUAUGUACAAGACUCUCCAUAAAGUUUCAUAAUUUUCAUUCGGUAUGGGGUGGUGCAGGUGAAACUUGUGGUUGGUGUUGAAGAAGAAGUGAAAAGCCUUACCAGCCACCUUGAAGCCAUUCAAGUUGUGCUCGAUGAUGCAGAGGAAAAGCAAGUGAAGGAAAAAGCUGUUAGUCUUUGGCUGGGUAGGCUCAAGUAUGCAUCCUACGACAUUGAAGAUGUGUUGGAUGAGUGGAUCACAGCAAGACGCAAAUUGCAAAUUGAGGAUGGCGUUGAUGAAAAUGCUCUUGUUGUUCCUCAUAAGAAAAAGAAGGUAUGUCUCUGCUUUCCCGGCUCUUGUUUUGGAUUCAAACAAGAAGAAUUUGGUUUCAAACAAGUCUUUUUCCGUCAUGACAUUGCCAACAAGAUCAAAGAAAUGAAUGAAGAGCUACAUGAUAUUGCCACUCAGAAAGACAUGUUUAAUCUUGUUAAGAGUGGCAAUAAAAGUAGUGAAAGACCAAGGCGUGUACAGAGUACCUCCUUGAUUGAUGAGGAAGAGAUUUGUGGUAGAGUUGGUGAGAAGAAUGAACUCUUAAGCAAGCUGUUGUGUGAGAGUAGCGAGCAACAAAAAGGCCUCCAUAUCAUCUCAAUUGUUGGUAUGGGAGGCAUAGGGAAAACUACUCUUGCACAACUAGCUUGUAAUCAUGACGAGGUGAAGAGAAAGUUUGACAAAAUUCUGUGGGUGUGUGUAUCAGAAACUUUUGAGGAGUUUAGGGUAGCCAAAGCGAUCGUUGAAGCUUUGGAUGGUCGUGAAUCUCAUUUAGGUGAAUUCCAAUCUCUUCUUAAACAUAUUUAUGAAUCAAUUGCAGGGAAGAGCUUUCUUCUUGUCUUAGAUGACGUGUGGGAUGGAAAUUACUUGAAAUGGGAACCAUUCUACCGUUGUCUAAAGAAUGGUCUCCAUGGAAGUAAAAUUUUAGUUACUACACGUAAAGGGUCAGCCGCAUCCAUGAUGGGAUCCACAGAUAUUAUCUCCGUUAAGGAGUUAGCUGAAGAAGAAUGUUGGUUGUUGUUUAACAAGAUAGCAUUUUUUGAUCGGUCCAUCGAGGAACGUGAAAAAUUAGAACAAAUUGGGCAAAGAAUUGCAGGCAAGUGCAAAGGUUUACCUCUUGCAGCAAAGACAAUCGGGAGUCUCAUGCGUUCUAAACAAACUGAAGAAGAGUGGAAAAGAAUUUUAAAUAGUGAUUUAUGGAAAGUAGAAGAGAUUGAGAAAGAUGUUUUGUCCUCUUUAUUGUUGAGUUAUAAUGAUUUGCCAUCUAGAGUAAAAAGAUGUUUUUCAUAUUGUGCUGUCUUUCCAAAAGACUACGAUAUAAAAAAAGACAAACUAAUCACAUUAUGGAUGGCUCAAGGUUAUCUUAGUGUAGAACAAGACGAAGAGAUAGAGACAAUAGGUGAAGAGUAUUUUGGCAUCUUAGCUUCUCGCUCGUUUUUUCAAGAGUUUAAGAAAAGUUAUGAUAAUCGGAUUAUAGCGUGUAAGAUGCAUGAUAUGGUACAUGAUUUUGCCCGAUUUGUAAGUCAAAAUGAAUGUUUUUCGAUGGAAAUUAACGGUAGUGAGGAACCAAACGCCACAAACUCUCUUGAUGAGAAGGUCCGUCAUUUAAUGUUAAUCUUUAGUAAAGGGGCUUCAUUACCUGCUUCCACUCGUAGAGUUAAAAGAAUGCGUACCCUCUUAAUUAACUAUAGUAGAUCUGAAUCAUCUGAUCAUUCAUUAUUAAAUGGUGAGAUCCUAGAAGAAUUAUUUAGGGAAUUGAAAAGUUUAAGGGCAUUAGAUUUUGGCGGAUCGUACGACACACAUUUUUCUUUGACUCUGGAGAUUCCAAGAAACAUAGAAAAGCUGGUACAUUUAAGAUACCUUAAUUUGUCUCUUCAGAAAAUAGUGGAGCUACCGGAGACAUUAUGCGAGUUGUAUAAUCUAGAAAAGUUAGAUAUUAGUUAUUGUUAUAAGCUAGAAGAAUUACCUGAAGGGAUUGGGAAGUUAAUAAACAUGAAGCAUUUACUAAAUAAAAAUACUAGUUCUUUAACGUACAUGCCAGUAGGGAUUGGGAGAUUAACGGGUCUUAGGACCUUGGGUGAGUUCCACGUGAGUGCAGGAGGAGGUGUUGAUGGUAGGAAAGCAUGUAGGCUUGAAUCUCUUAAAAACUUGGAACGCCUUCAAGUAUGUGGUAUACGUAGACUGGGUGAUGUAUCAGAUGUGGGCGAGGCUAAGCGAUUAGAACUUGACAAAAAGAAAUACCUCUCUUGUUUGACCCUUGAGUUUGAUAAGAAGGAAAGAGGAGGAGAAAGGAGGAAGAACGAGGACGAUCAACUUCUUCUUGAAGCUCUACAACCACCUCUGGAUUUAAAGGAAUUAGAGAUAUGGUACUACCGAGGCAACACUGCUUUCCCUAGCUGGAUGACGUCAUUAACCAACUUAAAAAGUUUAGAUCUCUCUUUGUGCGAAAAUUGCGAGCAGCUGCCUCCUUUGGGAAAAUUGCAGUCCCUUGAAAAUCUCCACAUAUGGCGCAUGGCGAGUGUGAAGAGAGUGGGUGAUGAAUUUUUGGGGAUAGAAAGUGAUCAUCAUGACUCAUCUUCUUCUUCAUCAGUUAUUAUUGCCUUCCCCAAAUUGAAAUCACUUUCAAUUAACGAAAUGGAGGAAUUAGAGGAGUGGGAUUAUGGGAUUACAAGAACGGGAAACACCGUCAUCGACAUCAUGCCACGUCUUUCAUCCUUAACAAUAAUUCUUAGCCACAAAUUAAAGGCACUGCCCGACUACAUUCAUCAAACGACAACAUUGAAGGAAUUGCACAUUUUGGGGUGUGACCUUCUGGAAGAACGUUACCGCAAGGGGGAAGGAGAAGACUGGCCUAAGAUAUCUCACAUUCCCAACUUCGAGAUUUGGCGUUGACAAGUAAUUUCUUCUCUCACUCUGAUUUGAAUCAAACUCUAUAUCAGAAAUCUGCAAUACUUACUUUCUAAUAUUCUGAUUUUCAUAUCCUAUGAAUAUACGAUUUUUAAUUUGUGAGAUGGGUAACGUUACUGUAAAAGAUUAUUAAUGCAAUAUGAGUAAUUCUUUUGCAGAACAAGUGACCUACAUUUAGUUUGGCUUUGGAGUUGAAUAAUAACCUUUCAAGGUCCCGACAACCAAAAAACGAAGCUUAAUUUGCCACAGAUGGCACGUAUUGCCAUUAUUGACAAUUUUCUGCACAAGCUUAGGUUGAUGUCAAAACAGGUAAAUUACUGGCAUGCCUGACUAUUUUGACCAUUACAUGAUUCAUAAGUUUACAUUAAUUUUGAUUUUGAGUUGAGUGAUUAAUUUUCUAGGUUUGCUUACUUUAACUGGGUGACCAAUUUCUUGUAACUAAAUGUAUGAUGUGAUGCAGGAAGCAGGGCAGGGCAUGAAGAGAGAAGCUUAUUAGAGGAAGGAUUGCCAGUAACAGAAUCCAAAGAAAAAAGAAACCAUUUCGAGGCAGCAGUUGGCAGUUGGCAGUGAAUGGAGCCCCUUGAAAAAUUCCCCAAGCCGUUGCACUGCAAUUACGAUCAUCCUCGGCCUCAGGUAAUUUCUUCUCCUGCAUUUUUGUUAUUUGCUAUCAAGUGACUAUUUUAAGUAUGAUUGCAUUAAGCUGCUGCUGGGAAAUUUGAGGUUUUGAUGACUGCCCAUGCUAUUGUCAGAAGCUGCGGUUCUUUUCAUCAGCCUGAACCUGGACCUGCCGCUAUGGAUAACUCAGGUUUUUUUUUUUUAAUCAACAGCCAUCUUUUCCACUGUUUAGAAACUCUUAAGAUUAAACUUUAGUAAAGUUGUUUUAGUUAUCCAUGUAAUCAGGCUGAGGAUACUUAGCUGCCUAUUUAGGCAAAUGUUAGAAUUUAGUUUGUUUGCUGGGAACUGGUGUGGACUGGCAAAGGAUGAUGAGAUAGUUUUUUGAGUGAGUAAAUUUUGGGAGCUUGAGUGUAUUGGGAUUUGCAAUUACAAUCAUCGUCUGCCUCAGGUGAUUUCUUCUCCUGCUCUGUCAUUGUUUGUUCUCUAAUUCAAAAGCAUAAAAUAUUUCAAUCAAUUUUUAUGCCAGGAAUAUGCAAAAGUUUCUAAUAUUUUAUUUCCAUCUGUUACAAGAUCAAACUGAAGCAGAACUCAAACAAAAGUAUGCUACUUCUUGCGGAAAUCUUGCCUUUGUUCAGAUUAUGAAACCAUUUCCAGGCAGCAAAUUCAUCCAAAAGUUUGAAUAAGUUUCAUGGUUGGACACUGUUGCCUUCUUUUUCUUCUGGGGUGCAUUUAGGUGCUAUCAAGUGACAGCUGUAAGUAUGAUUGCACUAAGCUGCUGCUGGGAAAUUUGAGGUUUUGAUGGCUGCCCAUGUUAUUUUCAAGAAACUAUUGAUGUAAGAAGCUGUGGUUCUUUUCAUCAGCUUGAACCUGAAACUGUCGCUAUGGAUAACUCAGGUUUUUGUUAUCAACUAUAUCAUCUUUUUCACUAUUUUGAAACUCUUAAGAUUAAACUUUAGUAAAGUUGUUUCAGCUAUUCAAAUGAAAAACUCAUUGAUUUGAGACUGACUUCAUUAUUGUUUCUAAUUACAAUGCUAACGAUCCAGAUAAAAUAAUAUUUAAUCGGCGAAGGUGUCCCUUGGAAGUACAUCCUUCUUUUUCUUUUAUUAUAUAAAUUCUUGCAAUGAGCUUAGUGAAGCUGUUGUGCUAAUCAUGCCACUGCAUAAUUUGGCCCCUAAUGUGGGUACUCUGUUACAUUGUUCUGCAAAUUCUCCAGAAGUUAAAAUCAAUAAAUUUUCUAUUAGCUCUAGUGCUUUGACCUAAAUGCCAUUCUAUAUUUUGAUUACAAUGUUUUAACCUUUAAAUUAACUACCCCUAGAUGUUGGAUUUUCUAGAACUUCAAAAUGAUUAAUGGAGAAAGAUCCCAUUAUCGUUAUUGCUAUAAGAAAUUGAUUUAUGCAUCCAAAGAUACAUUAUAUAUUUCUGUGUCUCUAUUUGUAGAUGACAUUUAAGCAUCCAUAAACCGUCAGACAGAGGAAGGGGGUUCAGUGCAAAGAUUCUGUUGACCUAGGGUUGACUGCAUAAUGUCACUUGUUCGCAAUCUAUUAUUUAUUUUAUAUUUUGAAGAAUUUAAUGGGUAAUCCUAAUUGUUUGUUUUGGCAGGUAUGUGUUGUUAUCUCCUUCUAUCUAACAGUCGUACCUAAAUAGCAUAGUUUCAUCUGCGUUACCAUGUGAUGUACAUAAUUUCACAUUUGCCUCAGAUUAAGCUUAAUUUCCCACAGAAUAGAGCUGUCGCGACUGGACUUUUUGAUGUCCAAAGAGGUAAAUUAUUGGCAUGCCUAGAUAAUUUGGCCAUUUCCUAAUUCAUAAGUCUACAUUAAUUUUGAUUUUGAGUUGACUGAUUUCUUUUCAAGGUCUGCUUCCUUAACGGAGUGACCAAUGUUUUUCAACUAAAUUUAUCAUAUGAUGCAGGAAGCAGGGCAGGAUAUGAAAUGAGAAGCUCAUUGGUGGAAGUAUUGCCAGUAGCAGAACCCAAUGAAAAUGAAACUAUUUCAAGGCAGCAGUCGGCAGUUGCAAGUGAAUGGAGGCCCUUGACAAAAUUCUCAAGCGAUUGCAAUGCAAUUACGAUCAUCCUCAGCCUCAGGUAAUGUCUUUUAUUGGUACCCAACAAAAAUGCAAGGUCUGUGAGAAGACAGUUUGUCCAGUUGAGCAGUUAUCUACUGAUGGGGUUGUUUAUCACAAGUCUUGCUUCAAGUGCUCUCACUGCAAAGGCACACUCAAGCUAAGCAAUUACUCAUCCCUGGAAGGUGUUCUUUACUGUAAGCCUCACUUUGAGCAGCUUUUGAAGGAGUCGAGUAACUUCAACAAGAAUUUCCAAUUACCUGCAAAGUCAGCUGAGAAGUUAACUCCUGAGCUGAGAAGGUCGCCUAGCAAAGUUGCCAGCAUGUUCUCUGGGCCCAAUAAAAAUGUGCUUCUUGCAGUAAAACAGUGUGUCCGUGGGAGAAGGUAGCAGCGGAAAACCAAGCCUCUCACAAGACAUGUUUCAAGUGCUCACAUGGUGGUUAUUCCAUUAGCCCGUCAAAUUACGCAGCCCUAGAAGGCAUCUUGUAUUGCAAACAUAAUUUCUCCCAAUUGUUCAAGGAAAAAGGCAGCUACAACCACCUUAUAUCAAAUCUGCUUCCAUGAAGCGUGCUGCAGUCUCUGUUCAAGAAGCUUGAACAUGUUAUGUUAUCUUCCAUAAAUCUUAUUUGGCGUGGGUUUUCUCUGGCUUGAGGGUGUGCUGCUUUCUAUUUUGAUCCCUCUUGUUUUUUUUGCGGGGAACUACCAAACCUUCGGUUCCCUCUGCUUCUUUGGAUCAUCUUUGUUGGGACAAAUUUCAUGUAAUUAGAGAUACUGAUUUAUGGGAGGCAUAAUCCCAUGGUCGUAAAUUGACCAUUUUCUGGCAAUGUUCUUUUUAAAAAGAGAUGAGCAGUUGUUUAACAAAAAAAAUAUUCGGCCUUCAUCAUUGUAUGUUACCAAACUGCUAUGUAUAGCUGCUAACUAUGAGCAUCCGAAAAUAUGGUGCAUCGUGAUUCAUGUAGUGCAAUAUGGCUACCAACGCAUCCUAAAUGGAGUAUUACUCAGUUAGUCAGCAAAAUAAGACAACAUAACAGAUAUUAAAAAAAAAACUACAUUAAUAAGUGGGCAAGAUCAUGCCAGUUUAACUUUUCGCGCGUCGCUGCUGGAGAUAAUCAAAUCGGGGCAGAGAAAAGGAGAAUGGAAUCAGAGGCUAAGAUUAAUAAGUGGGCUUCUGCUUGCUUUGCGCCUCUUUCUUAAACGAUUGGUAGACUGCUGCUUCCACCGAUUAACC